rnacentral:rRNA from 1 species
CCGCAAGGUUAAAACUCAAAUGAAUUGACGGGGGCCCGCACAAGCGGUGGAGCAUGUGGUUUAAUUCGAUGCAACGCGAAGAACCUUACCUGGUCUUGACAUCCACAGAACUUUCCAGAGAUGGAUUGGUGCCUUCGGGAACUGUGAGACAGGUGCUGCAUGGCUGUCGUCAGCUCGUGUUGUGAAAUGUUGGGUUAAGUCCCGCAACGAGCGCAACCCUUAUCCUUUGUUGCCAGCGGUCCGGCCGGGAACUCA